rnacentral:rRNA from 1 species
ACGAAGGGGGCUAGCGUUACUCGGAAUGACUGGGCGUAAAGGGCGCGCAGGCGGUUUAUACAGUCAGAUGUGAAAUUCCUGGGCUUAACCUGGGCGCUGCAUUUGAUACGUAUAGACUAGAGUGUGAAAGAGGAUUGUGGAAUUCCAAGUGUAGAGGUGAAAUUCGUAGAUAUUUGGAGGAACACCGGUGGCGAAGGCGGCAAUCUGGUUCACAACUGACGCUGAGGCGCGAAAGCGUGGGGAGCAAACAGG